rnacentral:lncRNA from 1 species
UUUUUUUGUUGUUUUUUUUUUUUUUUGCAGCACCUCUGGGCCAGGGAUCAAACCUGCCCCUCAUCAGCAGACAAUAAUGGAUGCUUAACCCUCCGUGCCACAAAGGAACUUCCUGGGAAAGUCUUUCAAAUUGGUCUUUAAGGACACGUGACAGUUCUUGGUUGGCUGCAAUGGGUCAGUUUAGGGACAUUCAAAGGCAGAAGCAUUGUAUAAUGUUAAAAGUAUCUUCUACCAUUCCAGCAUGGAAAACAACACAAAUGAAGACAGGAAGUGACAAUGAACAAGCAACACGUGCUAUUUAAACAGUGAGAAAACCACUCUGGUUAAAGAUCAUGAGAAAUGAAACUUGUGCUACCAGAAGAUGAAAUGUUAAUGCAUAAAGUUAGAAUAUGGAUGUGAUCAACUAGAACUUGAGGUAUUGUUUAGAGGGUUUUUAAAAGAGGUAUGAAGAUAAAACAAGAAUUUAAGGAAGGUUAUGAGAGAAAGGAAGGUUAUGAGAGAAACUCAUUAAUAGAGACCAAGUGGCUUUUAAGGGAGUCACGAUUAAGCACAGAGAUGCUAUUUUGAAAAUAAUUCUGGCCUUCCAUGUUCUCUCUGGAAAAAAAAUACUCAGUAUUUAAGUCUUGGAGCAAAACACAUGUAACACAAACACUGUUUCUGAAUAUCAGACUCUGAGGGAAAAUUCUACCCAAUCUAAUCUGUGGAAAAUACAAAGUUAACUACAGGAAUGAAGAGCUUGUGCAAAUUAAGAAAAACACUUAAGCAUUACAUGCUAACCUUAAGGGAUCAUUUUUUUAGAAAUUUUCUAGGGACUCUGAGUCAACUAGUUAAAAACAGCUGACAAUGGAAAGGCUUUAUAAUAGAAAUAGCUUCUACAACUAAGGAGGUAUGGUUUAUUCGCAAUGUAAGUCAGUUAAUUUUCUUUUUAAUAAGUUCAUGGAUAAGCAGAAAUUUCAACCAAAUAUUUCAGAUUUGUGUUCUAUUCACCAUGAAAGGGGCACACAUUACCAAACAUCAAUGCAACCCACUCCCUCUAGGAGAAAUUCAAACCACAACUCUCUCAGCAAAGUUAAAAAACAACAACAACAACUCAUCUUGUCCAAAACAAUCACUGUCCCCUCUUGUGAGCAAAUUCAAGUGCUGACACCUUUAAACAACCAACUUCAGUCUCCAAGCCAAAACUAGGGUAGCACUUUCAUUAACACAAAUUAUGCCCUAAAAUAAAGCAAGGCUUUGGAGGUGAAAAAAAUUUCAAACACUUACCUUCAAUCUCUUCUUCACCCCACUGCAUAUUCAGAGCAGCCACCGGAUUCAAAAUUCAGCGGGAAAGGCUGAACGUUUGUGUGAUUGUACAACUCAAAAGACCAUAAGUGACGGAGGACAUCAGUGACUUUGAGCAGCAAUUUUAGUAAAGCUAAAUGUUUCUACCAAAGUUCCUCGGUCUUUGAGGGUAAUUGCUUUUCAGAAGAGCUCUCCUCCCUUCCUGCCUUACCUCUUUUUCUUACUUAAGCAGGGCACACGCAGGCAGCUUUCCUGCUGCCUAAAUAGCACGUGCUUUAGGCGUUUCCUCACUACCCAGAUAAAGUCAGCCCAGCCCUCACAGAGCUGUAACUGGCUAUUUGAUUAAAACUGGGAUGUUUUGACCCUUAGAAGGUACAUCAGAAUCACCUAGGACCUAUAACCAUUCUGAUACCAAAUCACAGCUUCCUGAUUCUGAUGAGGUAGGUCUGGGGUAGAUUCCUAGACUGGUAGUUUGUCAGGCUUCCCUUGUGGUGCUAGUGACAGGCAAAAGAGACUGGGAACACUGGUUAACCCAACUCUAAAGCUUUACCAGAUAUUGUGGGGGUGGGGGAAGGAGGAGGGAUGUGUUUGUAAGAGUCAAACAUGUUCUCCAAAUAACCUCUAAGUAGUAAGACGUUUGGGAGGAUCAUUUUGAUUAAGAGAACCUGUCCAUUCCUAGGUCCAUCUCACCUGCAGGAAUUUUAAAAUAGGGAGACGAAAUCUACAUUACAGUCAAAUUGUAUUCAUUUUCUCCACCCCUUUGUUCGUGUUAAGUAUGGCCUUUGGAGAAUGGGGGGAGAGGACUCUGGAUUUUAGGAACCAACAAAGACACUUUUGGGUCCCUCAUAGACAAUUCUAUCUCCCCAUCCCUACCCCUGGAGACGUUUGCUGAAGCUUAAAAAGUCAAGAGUCUUGAGUUCUCCCUAAGGAAGUUUUGAAGAAUGUUCAAUCAGUUAUUUUCCCAGUUUACACUGAUACAAUCCAGUCCUUAUCAAAAUAGCAGAUGGCUUCUCAGGGUGAGAACUUAAUCACUACCUGGAACUUUCCACUGAGACCCCCCCAGGUACCUUCCCAACACCCUCUCUCACCACAUCCUUUACCUUCUAUCCACUCAACACCUUUCCCUCCAAUCUGAUAGCCUCCCAACAUGACAUGCUCAAUUAUCCAUUUUUCAUAGUCCACCGCAUUUCUCAGGGGAGGGAGAGAUUCAGGGGAAGAAAAGAAAAUGUGUGUCUGACCUGAAAGUGAAGAUCAAAAGGGGAUUUUCCUCUGAGGUAGCUCAUCUCAUGUGUUUAUUGACUGGCAGCAUCUGCAUCACCUGGGAUCUUGCUGGAAAUGAAAAUUCUUGGACCUCACUCUAGAUUUACAGGAUCAGGAACUCUUUAGUAGACCCCAGCAGUCAGAGUUCUACCCAACCCUCUAAGUGAUUCUGGUACAAACUCAGGUUUUAGAAUCACAGAUGUCUUAUGUCUUCUCUGGUCCUUUCAAACUGAGAGAAGGGUGGAUGGAGAGAUGGAAGGGUGGGGGGCAAGAAAGAAAGAAAGAAAGAAAGAGAGAGAGAGAGAGAGAGACAGACAGACAGACAGACAGGAAGGAAGGAAGGAAGAAAGACAUUUACUUUUGUCUCCAGCCUACAUGGGGAAGGGAGAGAAAAUAAAUAAUCCCACUGAAAAUAGAAAAAACCAUGUUUGCGCAUAGAAAGGAUAAACAAUGGCUUACACAAGACAUAUUGAUUAAAUUUCUCUUUGAAUCUCCAUAGCUGCACCGAGAAGAUUCUUAUGGUUUCAAUUAAGAAAGUUGGCCUAGGAGUUCCCAUCGUGGUGCAGUGGAAAUUAAUCUGACUAGGAUCCACGAGGAGGAAAGUUUGAUUCCUGGCCUUACUCAGUGAGUAUUGGUGAGAUCUGGUGUUGGUGAGAGCUGUGGUGUAGGUCACAGACGUGGCUGAGAUCUGGCAUUGCUGUGGCUGUGGUGUAGGCCAGCAGCUACAGCUCCCAUUUGACCCCUAGCCUGGGAAACUCCAUAUGCCUUGGGCACAGCCCUAAAAAAGCAAAAAAGCAAAAAAAAAAAAAGUUGGCCUAGUUGAUUCCUAAUAUUCUUUCCAGUGCUCAUGCAAUGGCUCUAUGAGUUUUCAGUAUUAGUAAGAAGCAGCAGGCACUAAAAAUCAUUAAGAGAAUAGGAAAGAAUGCUGUAUUAAGUUGAGAAAUAUGUAUAUUUUAUUGGAGAUGCAGCAUCCAGCCUACACUGCAGCGAGACAGGAUCCAAGCUGCGCCUGUGACCUAUCCCACAGCUCUCAGCAAUGCUAGGUCCUUAACCCACUAAGUGAGGUCAGGGAUCAAACCCACAUCCUCAUGGACAUUAGUUGGAUUCUUAACCCCCCGAACCUUGACAGGAACUCCCAGUAAUAUGUAUAUUUUUAAGGACAACUUCUUAGAUAAAGUGAUUUUGUGCCCACAUCACCGUUAUUUUCAAACAUGCUGGUAAAUGAGAAGUUGCUGAUAAGCCAUACUCAAGGAUGCCACCUGCUGGUAAAAACAUUUUGUAGUUAAAAAGAGGUAAUAACAAUAAACUGUCUGGUUAAAGAUUGUUAGGCUAUUCACAAAAAAUAUUAAAAUGUCGGCAAGUUUCAAAACUGAUAGUCAGCUGAGUGGGUGACCCUGCCUUUUCAGAAGGAAUCUUGAAAGAUCAUGAAAGUCUCUUAGAAAACUGCUGAAGAGUUUUAUAAGGAUUCUAAUUGCUUUCAGGAGGGGCUGUGAAUUGCAUUUUGCAAAAAGGCCUGUCUCACAGAAUGUUUGGGACAACUCUUUCCUUGGUUUCUAGUCUCCUCUCUUCUCACUAAGUUUUCUUUUUCUUUUUUCACUUUCUUUUUUCAGGAAGUAAUUUAAACUUCCUAAAUCUCCCUGAUCGCUUGUCUAUAAAGUAGGGAAAAUAAUUUCUUCACCAAAUGAAAGAAUGAGGCUAGAAAAAAAAAAAAAAACACAACUAUCUCUUUAGAGCCUUUCAAGGUCUCUGACUGACUAAUAAAAUUAUGCAUUGAAGGGGAAAGAUAAUAUGAUGUAGUUUUCUACCCUUGGGUUCUGAUCCAGCCAUAGCAACAAGUGUUGUAGAUUUAUUUAUUCUAUGUCAUUUAUCAAUCAAACACACAGUUCCUACUAGGUGUUAUGCAUGUCCUUUGCAUUUACAAGAGUUAAUUCAAUACGUAUGAUUACUCUAUGAGGCAGGUAAAAUUGUUAUCCCCAAUUAAAGAUGAUAGAACUGAGCCACUGAGAGGUUAAAUAACCAGCCCAGGAACAAAAUCUGGUAGUGGCAGAGCCUAGAUUUGAACUCAGGAAGCUGCAUCCAAAGACUGUGUUCAAUAAAUUGUUCACUAAUCGAUAUUCUGUCCCUA